UUGAGGUUAAGUGCACGACAUGUGUCACGCCCUCUCCACCCUUUGAUAAAUCAAUUCGAUUUUUCAAUUCUUCGGCGAAGCGUCUAUUUUGGACUGUUGACAAUUCUGUGAGCAUGUCUUCGCCGGAGUUCCAAACACUUUAAUAAUGUGAUCAAUUAUUAUGGAAUAACAUAA
rnacentral:misc_RNA from 1 species